GACGAACGCUGGCGGCGUGCCUAAUACAUGCAAGUAGGACGCAGUUGCGAACGGGUGAGUCACGCGUAGGUAACUACCUAUUAGAGGGGGAUACCUAUUGGCAACGAUAGCUAAUACCGCAUACUAGUAGAUGGAACUUCGUUGUAUUGGCUGGUAGGGAGGGUAAAGGCAUACCUAGGCAACGAUACAUAGCCGACCGGAGAGGGGGAUCGGCCACCCUGGGACUGAGACACGGCCCAGACUCCUACGGGAGGCAGCAGUAGGGAAUCUUCGGCAAGGGGGGGAACCCUGACCGAGCAACGCCGCGUGAGUUAAGAAGGUUUUCGGAUCGUAAAGCUCUGUUGUUAAGGAAGCGGUACUUACCCAGAAAGGGACGGCUAACUACGUGCCAGCAGCCGCGGUAAAC
rnacentral:rRNA from 1 species